rnacentral:rRNA from 1 species
UACGAAGGGGGCUAGCGUUGUUCGGAAUUACUGGGCGUAAAGGGCGCGUAGGCGGUGUGUCAAGUCAGGCGUGAAAGCCCCGGGCUCAACCUGGGAAUGGCAUUUGGGACUGCAAGGCUUGAGUGCGGCAGAGGAGACUGGAAUUCCUGGUGUAGCAGUGAAAUGCGUAGAUAUCAGGAGGAAUACCGAUGGCGAAGGCAGGUCUCUGGGCUGACACUGACGCUCAUGCACGAAAGCGUGGGGAGCAAACAGG